UGUAGCAGCCCCAAAUCCGGGUCCCAAAUCGCCGCGGAUCCGGUUCGCUAUUUCUACAACUGUUUGCGGAAGAUAUAAACAUAGAUUGUUUAUACAUUACACUAUUCCCAAAAUCGAGUAACCUUAACUAAUACACAAUCGUGACUGUCUAACACAUGACAAUACUAUUCUUCAACAUACUUUACAACUUAACUUCACAUUCUAUCCCAAGCUGAACUUGGCAUUAUCCUUUUCCUGUAUCUGGCCGUAUUCGCCUUAUCUGCAAUGUUUUAUCAUGAUAUAGCAAGGGUGAGCAUGAAAGUUGCCCAGCAA
rnacentral:lncRNA from 1 species